rnacentral:rRNA from 1 species
CCUACGGGAGGCAGCAGUGAGGAAUAUUGGUCAAUGGACGAGAGUCUGAACCAGCCAAGUAGCGUGAAGGAUGACUGCCCUAUGGGUUGUAAACUUCUUUUAUAAAGGAAUAAAACGAGUCACGUGUGCCUUUUUGCGUGUACUUUAUGAAUAAGGAUCGGCUAACUCCGUGCCAGCAGCCGCGGUAAUACGGAGGAUCCGAGCGUUAUCCGGAUUUAUUGGGUUUAAAGGGAGCGUAGAUGGGUUGUUAAGUCAGUUGUGAAAGUCUGCGGCUCAACCGUAAAAUUGCAAUUUAUACUGGCAGUCGUGAGUACAGUUGAGGUAGGCGGAAUUCGUGGUGUAGCGGUGAAAUGCUUAGAUAUCACGAAGAACUCCGACUGCGAAGGCAGCUCACUGGACUGCAACUGACACUGAGGCUCGAAAGUGUGGGUAUCAAACAGGAUUAGAUACCCUGGUAGUC